rnacentral:rRNA from 1 species
GACGAACGCUGGCGGCGUGCCUAAUACAUGCAAGUUGAGCGCUGAAGGUUGGUACUUGUGCCAACUGGGUGAGCAGCGAACGGGUGAGUAACGCGUGGGGAAUCUGCCUUUGAGCGGGGGACAACAUUUGGAAACGAAUGCUAAUACCGCAUAAAAACUUUAAACACAAGUUUUAAGUUUGAAAGAUGCAAUUGCAUCACUCAAAGAUGAUCCCGCGUUGUAUUAGCUAGUUGGUGAGGUAAAGGCUCACCAAGGCGAUGAUACAUAGCCGACCUGAGAGGGGGAUCGGCCACAUUGGGACUGAGACACGCCCCAAACUCCUACGGGAGGCAGCAGUAGGGGAUCUUCGGCAAGGGACGAAAGUCUGACCGAGCAACGCCGCGUGAGUGAAGAAGGUUGUCGGAUCGUAAAACUCUGUUGGUAGAGAAGAACGUUGGUGAGAGUGGAAAGCUCAUCAAGUGACGGUAACUACCCAGAAAGGGACGGCUAACUACGUG